rnacentral:lncRNA from 1 species
ACUAUGUCCUUUAGCAAGACAUUGCAUAUUUUAAGAAGAGCAAUCUUAUUUUUCCAUGAACUUGAUGUUCGUAUCCUUUCAAUUUCUAAACGUGGCUCAUAAAUUCAAUCAAAUAUUUAUCUUUAUCUUUUCUGGCUCAUCAGAUCCUGAGCUCAGAGGAGUGGAAUGUUGAUGCCAUGGCCAUAUGGCUAUUUUAUGUGGGAAGAGAGAGAAUUUCUUGGCUCUUUUGUAAGUUUCUUGGUACAUGGAUUCAGUAAUGAGUACCUCCACACUUACAGGGUAACUUUAGUCACACGGAAACAGCAAUUCUCCGCACGCUUUGGUCGUCAUGUUGAUUCAAAGCCAUAUGCUUUCCCUUGCGAACUUAUCUUCACAAAUUCCCAAAUGAAGCUAUGAAGCAAUUUGCCUUCAGAGUCCCCUAUUCUAGCCAUUUCACAUUGUCUUCCUAUAGUCACUGUGUG